CCCACCUCCCACCCAAACAAACCAUUCAUUUUCUUUUAAUUUGAUUUUGACUAAUGAAAUUAUUUGCUUCUUGGUAACAUCCUUAACUUUUUGCUGGUUAUAUUUUUUUGCCGUUCCUCAACUCUGACCCUUUCCGCGGAGGAUUCCAAUUCAUCGAAUUUGCUUGUUUAAUGGAGAAAGAAACCAAUAUUUGCAGCUGGACAGGUUGUCACCACAGUUCAAUGAUUUAGGUCAGACAUCAGCUUUAGAAGUUGCUUUCUUGGCACAUCAUGCUGUCCAGUGGAGUUCAUACCAUAUGCCAGGCCUUUAUACAUAGUCAAAGAAGAUGAAUUUGUUAUUCAAUUUGUGAAAUUUGAUUUAGCGAGGACUUUCAUAUAUGAUGAUUAUAUUCAGCAGAUUAUCUUCAAGUGUGCACUUUCUAGAAUCACAGUUUCUAGGAGGUUUUCAGUUUAAAGUUAGAUUAAUUGAAAAAUAAGGGGAGCUAUCAUACUCACCAUGGUAUCGACAUUGGCAUUACACCAGGUUUAAGUUUUUCUUACCAGUCCAUAUUUUAAAAGGACCUUUUGACAGUAUUGAAACUUACAACAGUAAUGUAUCAUCAUUAUACCAAGUUUUAGGCAAGAGUACAUAACUCCAUCAAGGAUUUGACUGAACUAUGGCCCUUUUAAACUUUUGUCACUUGUUUAUAAUAAUAGUCUCUCUAUAUAGGCAAGAGUUCAUAACACUGUAGAGUAUUUUGGAUGAAUUAUGUCCCUUUUGGACUUUGAAAUUGGUUCAGUUUUUGUACAAGUCCACAUUUUGACAAAACAUUUUGGCAUAUAGCUUUGAAUCUUUCAACACUAAGUCUUACCAUUACAAUAAUAUAACUUAAAAUAGUUGUUCAACAUCAUCAAUCAUCACCCACAUCAUAUUACACAAGAUGCAUAACUCUUGCACUAAAAUUUAAUGAAUUGUGCCCGUUUUGCUUAAAAUGUACUUUGUAUAGUGUUUUGAUACACUUUAUCUUUAUCUCUCAUAUUACUUAAUAUUUUUAAAACAGACUUAGUUAUUAUGCAAUAUCUUCAUCCGCCGUUGGAGUCAUUAAACACAAUAGUGACAGCUCCAGUGUUCUCAGAUGUGCCCAGGCUCACUAUCCAGCACCGAAAUAGUCGAGCAUGCUAACUGAGACAAUCAGGUAGAUAACUAUGGACAGAUUUUAUGUCAAAUCACCUCCCUUUAUUUCAAAUUGAAAUGGGUACAUCAGUGUAACUAAUGAAGAUACUGUUAUGCCACCAGAUUGACUUGGACACUCAGUGAAGAUACAUAUUGACUGAAUUUAUGACAAAAGUACCUCCCUUUAUUUUUUAUGUAAAUGAAUAUAUUUAGCAGCUUCUAAUGAAAUUGGUUUGAAAGGUUUUUUAUGUCUACCAUGGUAAGAUAUAGUCAUGUUAGAUAACUCUUGCUUGAAUGUUUAUAGAUAUGAAUACUUCUCUUAUAUAUUAUUGUGAAACUUGUACUGUGUAUCUUCUACAUGCAUGUACCAAUACAUGAUUACCUUCCCUGAUUUUUAUAAAAAUGGAUUUAUCUCAGUAAGCAUAUAUAUAGGACUCAUUUGAAAUUUCAUUAUUGUCAUUUUGUUGGACAGAGACAAUUAUUGUAGAUUAUAUUGACUGAUUUUAUGCCAAGUUACAUUCCUUCGUUUCUUGUUAAAAUAGGUGUAUCUCAGUAACCAAUGAAGAUACUGAUUUGAAGUGUCAUUUAUGCAAUGAAAUGGACUCGGACAAUCAGGGUAGAUAACUUUUGACUGGAUUUAUGACAAAUAACCUCUCUUUAUUUUAUGUAAAUGAAUAUAUAUCUCAGCAGCAUCUAAUGAGAUUGCUUUAAAAUGUUAUGUAAGUCUUCCAGGGUAAGAAAUAGUCAUGCCAGUACAAAAAUGCAGCAUUUGAGCCUAGGACCCUCAAACAUGAUAUGAAGAUUGACCCUGACUAGUAUGUGACCCACAGGUCAAAAGGGACUGUUAAAUGAAUUUUUUAUCCUGAUGAUAUUUAAUGUGUAGCACUCUCGUCUAAAGUAUUUUUGAUUUAUAUGGAAAACAGCAGUGUUGGACAGAAUUGGAUGAAAAGUACAUUGUUAGAACUUCAAAUAUGCAACAUAAAGGUGAAUAUAGGUAAAUUUAUAAAUUCUCACCACAGGAUCUGUGGGUUAGUGGCUUUGAUUUGUAUAAAUUCUGUACAUAGGUCUAUAACCUUAAUCUGCUGAGAAUUUCUUCCCUUAAAUGAUGGAUAAGUCUUUAAUAUUGAAAUAAAUUUGCAUCUGUGCUCCUAUGGCAUUAUUAGGAAAGACACGUUAUUAUACAUUGUAACAGUUGGUGUUUAGAUCCUAUAAUUUGUUGAUUUAUUAAUAAUAAAACAUAAAAUAAAUGUUGAAAGUUUCAUAAAA